GCCUACGGGGGGCAGCAGUAGGGAAUCUUCCACAAUGGGCGAAAGCCUGAUGGAGCAACGCCGCGUGGGUGAAGAAGGUCUUCGGAUCGUAAAACCCUGUUGUUAGAGAAGAAAGUGCGUGAGAGUAACUGUUCACGUUUCGACGGUAUCUAACCAGAAAGCCACGGCUAACUACGUGCCAGCAGCCGCGGUAAUACGUAGGUGGCAAGCGUUAUCCGGAUUUAUUGGGCGUAAAGGGAACGCAGGCGGUCUUUUAAGUCUUAUGUGAAAGCCUUCGGCUUAACCGGAUGAGUUCAUUGGAAACU
rnacentral:rRNA from 1 species